CGCACAUUGCGCCCUUUGGUAUUCCAAAGGGCAUGCCUGUUCGAGCGUCAUUUGUACCCUCAAGCUUUGCUUGGUGUUGGGCGUUUUUGUCUUGUGCAGCAAGACUCGCCUUAAAACGAUUGGCAGCCGGCCUACUGGUUUCGGAGCGCAGCACAUUUUUUGCGCUUGCAACCAGCAAAAGAGGCCGGCACUCCAUCAAGUCCUCUUUCUCACAUUUUGACCUCGGAUCAGGUAGGGAUACCCGCUGAACUUAA
rnacentral:misc_RNA from 1 species